rnacentral:rRNA from 1 species
GACAGAGGGUGCAAACGUUGUUCGGAUUUACUGGGCGUAAAGCGCGUGUAGGCGGCUUUGCAAGUCGGAUGUGAAAUCCCACGGCUCAACCGUGGAAGUGCAUCCGAAACUGCAUCGCUCGAGUCUCGGAGAGGAAGGUGGAAUGCUUGGUGGUAGAGGUGAAAUUCGUAGAUAUCAAGCAGAACACCUGCGGCGAAGGCGGCCUUCUGGACGAUGACUGACGCUGAGACGCGAAAGCGUGGGGAGCAAACAGG